GGGCCCGCACAAGCGGUGGAGUAUGUGGUUUAAUUCGAUGCAACGCGAAGAACCUUACCAGGGUUUGACAUCCUGCGAAUCUCUUGGAAACAGGAGAGUGCCUUCGGGAACGCAGUGACAGGUGGUGCAUGGCUGUCGUCAGCUCGUGUCGUGAGAUGUUGGGUUAAGUCCCGCAACGAGCGCAACCCACGUCUUUAGUUGCCAGCAUUUAGUUGGGCACUCUAGAGAGACUGCCGGUGAUAAACCGGAGAAGGUGUGGAUGACGUCAAGUCAUCAUGGCCCUUAUGGGCAGGGCUACACACGUGCUACAAUGGCCGGUACAAGGGCAGCGAAGCCGCAAGGUGGAGCGAAUCUCACAAAACGGUCGU
rnacentral:rRNA from 1 species